rnacentral:rRNA from 1 species
GACGAACGCUGGCGGCGUGCUUAACACAUGCAAGUCGAACGCUGAACCCGCUUCGGUGGGGGAUGAGUGGCGAACGGGUGAGUAACACGUGGGUAACCUGCCCCCGGCUCUGGGAUAACUCCAAGAAAUUGGGGCUAAUACCGGAUGUGACCGCUGGCCGCAUGGUCUGGUGGUGGAAAGGGUUUCUGGUGGGGGAUGUG